AAGUCGUAACAAGGUUUCCGUAGGUGAACCUGCGGAAGGAUCAUUACCGAGAUAGGGUCCUUCGGGGCCCGACCUCCAACCCUUUGUCUACCUUACCACUGUUGCCUCGGCGGGUCGCCGGCGUCCUUGCGGGCGCCGCCGUCGGCCUCCGCGCUCUCGAGUGCCCGCCGCCAGGCCCUAUUAAACCCUUUAUAAUCGAGAAAUCUGAGCAUAAAAUCAAUACUUUAAAA
rnacentral:misc_RNA from 1 species